rnacentral:rRNA from 1 species
GGAUGCGAUCAUACCAGCACUAAAGCACCGAAUCCCAUCAAAACUCCGAAGUUAAGCGUGCUUGGGCGAGAGUUGUACUAGGAUGGGUGACCUCCUGGGAAGUCCUCGUGUUGCAUUCC